UGUUUUGUGCAGCUCAGAGGUAGAAUGUUUGCUUAGCAUGCACAAAGCCCUGGUUUCAAUCCCCAGUGUCUAGAUAA
rnacentral:tRNA from 1 species